UGGCAAAAGACAGCUGGCCUUAAUUCCCCUAACCAAUCCAUGAAAUCCUCUAGUAAUGGUGUAGUUUUCCGAAUACUUUGUCCUGCUUCCAAAACAGGUAGUAUUAUUGGGAAAGGUGGUGCCAUCAUAUCACAAAUCCGUCAAGAAACUGGUGCAAAGGUCAGAGUUGAGGAAAUUGUCCCCGGAUGCGAUGAGAGGGUAGUUGUUAUUGUGGGUUCUGAUAAGGAUAUUGAAGUCAAUAUUGAACAGAAUGGGGAGGAUGGUGAUAAAAAUGCAAAUGUGGCAGAAGAGGGUGAUGAAAAGAAAGACAGUGGUGAGCACAAUGAAAAUAAAGAAAUAGUUCCUGCACUUGAUUCAUCAAAGUCUGUAAAGGAAACAUCAUCCCUGCAAAAAGCUUUGUUACUUGUUUAUGAAAGAAUAGUUGAAGCUGAACCAGAGAAGGCUGGGGGGAAUGAGGAAGAUAACAAGCCUUCUAUGUCCAUUUUGAGGUUACUUGUGCUUUCCAGUCAAGUUGGAUGCCUUUUAGGAAAGGGUGGAAGUGUAAUCAAGCAAAUGUCAGCGGAAAGUGG
rnacentral:misc_RNA from 1 species